UACGAAGGGGGCUAGCGUUGUUCGGAAUUACUGGGCGUAAAGCGCACGUAGGCGGCUUAGCAAGUUGGGGGUGAAAUCCCGGGGCUCAACCUCGGAAUUGCCUUCAAAACUGCUAGGCUUGAGUUCGGAAGAGGUGAGUGGAAUUCCCAGUGUAGAGGUGAAAUUCGUAGAGAUUGGGAAGAACACCGGUGGCGAAGGCGGCUCACUGGCCCGUUACUGACGCUCAGGCGCGACAGCGUGGGGAUCAAACAGG
rnacentral:rRNA from 1 species